UACGUAGGGUCCGAGCGUUGUCCGGAAUUAUUGGGCGUAAAGGGCUCGUAGGCGGUUCGUCACGUCGGGAGUGAAAACUCGGAGCUUAACUCCGAGCCUGCUUCCGAUACGGGCAGACUAGAGGUAGGCAGGGGAGAGCGGAACUCCUGGUGUAGCGGUGGAAUGCGCAGAUAUCAGGAAGAACACCGGUGGCGAAGGCGGCUCUCUGGGCCGAUAUUGACGCUGAGGAGCGAAAGCGUGGGGAGCGAACAGG
rnacentral:rRNA from 1 species